GGAUGUGGGAAUGAUCUGAUUGCAACAUCUCACCCCAUUGAGCCCUAAGGUGGUCAAGCUGAUCAAAUGAGCUAUGUGUGGUGUCUUGUUCUAUCAUUGGCUCCAUGUGCAUCUGUCCUAAAGAUUUGUGCUCCAUGGAGGAGGAUGAUCUUCCCCUCAUGGAAGAAUAUUCUAUGCCAAGGUUAGAUGAGUAGCUAUAUUCCCUUGCUGGAAUCCCCAAACAAGUUCUCAGGAAUAUAUUCAGUUUUCUAAUUUGAAUCUUCCAUUCCUGCUUUCUCUGAAAAGGAUACUACUUCCUGCUUC
ensembl:misc_RNA 7SK 7SK RNA